GGUUCUAGGGCUCACGCUCAGGCCAUCAGGCUUGCACACAUGUGCCUUCUACCUCCUGAGCUAUCUCGCCGGCCCGAGUCUAGCUUUCUCACAUGCAUAGUCUCACUCGCCAUCUGCUUUCCAGCCUCCAAGAUUCGGAUGGUGAAUUCUCUGAUUUUCGGAAGGGGAGGACAUGAACUCAGAAGCCUGCAACUAGAAACUGUAAAAGAGAUUGCUUUUGUGGCAUCGGUUGAUCAGAGGGCAGAGUCUUCAAGUCCACGGGCUUCAAGUACUUCUGAGUAGUCAAACCAAUAGGGAACAUUUUGCAGAAAACAAAAACUUACCUGCUGUGUGUCAGACUGAGCUGUCCCUCUUCCAUCCUGUACUUCAAGACCUGCUAUUGUCCUGCUGCUGGUCACAGCCAUGCCUGGGAAGAAGGCGGCGCCUUCGGUGGGAGAGCUCUGCAUACACCCCUUUGAGGCCCAAGGGGGCAGGGAAGGAACUGUAGGAUUGCACAAUCCUAAUCUGUGACUCCAUGUGUGAACCAGAGGCACCUAGCCUCAUUCCCAGAGACCUUGCUGUCCCAGAAUGGACCUGCCUGAGAGCUGAGGCAAGCAGGGAGCCACCAGCCUCCUCGCUUCCCAGUCUCCACCUCCCAGGAGCAGCUGGCUCAGCCAUGGAGGCCCCACGGCCCUGCAUGUGUCCACCCCACUGUCUCAUGCUAUGAGAUUAUGUACAGGAGGGACACGGCAUCUUUCUGAGUGGAUUCUCCUUCAGAAUGUGCCAGUGUUUCUGCGGUUCAUAAUCUUUCCCUGCCCUUGCUGUUGUAUCUCUUGGCUUUUUCUCAAUAGGCUGCCUUUCUUUCCUCACUAGAAAUCCUGUACAGGGUUUGCUCCCACCCUCUGUGGGGCCGGAGGGUCUGAGGAACAGAAGGUUCUUGACCUUGGUCAGCCUGUGAGUGACUCAGCAUCUGUUUAGUCACUGGAGAGAAGCUGGGGUUGAACUGUUUUCCCUUCGAUCCUAGAGAGCUCCCCAGAGAGCAGGUUGAUUGAGCCAAGCGUGCACAUCACUGUGACAAGCUGUUGGCUUAUUGCCCUCUUCCCUUAUAGCUAAACCAGCUGACAAAGAUCUGUAGCUUGGUGGAAGGCUCCUACAGUGGGUCACAGAUCCUCCCAUUUUAUUUUAAAUUGACUCUGUUGGGCCUGAGGGGUGGGGUAAAGGAUGGAAAUCCUAUCUGUAGAUAUGAAGCUAUGUAGAUGGCCUUGCAAUCCCUCGCUCCCACAGCUCAGUGUUUCUGUGAGCCUAUGUGCUGAGGCCCCUGGAGACCUGCCUGUUUUAUUGCCCUGGAUACCAGCCCUCGGUGACUUCCCAGAUGGCUCCUCUGACAGCCUCCACACUUAGCUGCAGUCACCAAAGUAGCUCCCUGAGCAGAGGACAUGGCCAUCUCUCCAUUAGCAAAGACAGGCUGUGGAGCACGGAGUCCCAGCACUGUGACAGAUGCCUAGAGUCUGACCUUGCAACCACCUUGGGGUCUGUGUCUUAAAGCAGCUGGGUGGCUGAUAGGAGGUACUCCAAAAUGGUUGCAAGACAGAGUGGCCACAGCUAGAACUGAACCCCCAAGUAAGUUGACACAAAAGUGAUGACAUCUGGAAGUCUGUGUUUCAUGCAGCAGAGGGUAGGGGCGUGUGGCUGAGGCUAUUGGCCAGGGUUCCAGCUGCCUUCUCUUCUCCCAGGGGGAGCUACUUGUCCUCUCCUCUGAGGAGGAGCUACUUUUCAUCAUAGGCCUCUACACAGCUUUGGCAAGUUCCUACCACUGCUGGGCCUUGCAGGUGGGGCCUGGGUCAGUGGUACUCUUUGAAACAGUUGCAGGUGACUGGCAUUUCCCUGUAUGCCCCCAUCAGCAAGAGAGGGAGCGACUGGCCCGUGGAGUAUUAUCUUAGUAAAGUUUUUAUUGUUGAGGAGACACCAUGACCAUGGGCAGCUCUUAUAAAGGAAAAUAUUUAGUUGGGGCUGGCUUCCAGUUUCAGAGGUUUAGUCCAUUAUUGUCAUGGCGGGAAGCAUGGCGGCAUGCAGGCAGGCAUGGUGCUGAGGGAGCUGAGAGUUCUGUCUCCAGCUUGAUCUGCAGGCAGCAGAAGGAGACUGUGCCACACUUAGCAUAGCCCACCCCACAGCAGCACUCUUCCUCCAACAAGGCCACACCUACUCCAACAAGGCCACGCCCUGUAAUAGUGCCACUCCCCCUGGGCCAAUCCUUCAAACACAUGAGUCUACCCAGGCCAUUUGUAUUCAAACCACCACAGGUAUUCUCUGAAGAAGAAGAAAGAGGAGGAGGAGGAGCUUAUGUGGCACUUAGUUACAGGGAGAAAUACCUUGCCUCCCCAUUUACUUUUCUCUUCUACCCUGUCACAUCAUGAAUGGCAAGCAGAGUCACCCUGACUGCUGAGGCUUCAUUCUCUAUACCCGGUCCAAGAGAUCUGGAGAAGAGCCUAGAUAGGGCUAGUAGAGGCCUGUCCUAGCCUGGGUCACAGUUGUCUUUGGGAAAAGCACAGCUCAUUUUGAGCCACAUAUAUCCAGAAUGUUCUUUCUCACCUUGUUUGUGAGAGCUGGCUCUUGCAGCCUCACUGUUCUCAACACGUAACUUAAGCAUUUUUGCUCCCCCUGAUUACUGGGAAACUCAGAACACCGAAGAAGUGCUUCAGGGUAAAUAAGAUAGGUUCCAAGAGACCUGGUCUCGUCUUUGCCUUUCUGGGCACUAAGUGCUGAGAGGGUCUCUCAUCACAGCCUUUCUGGGCCCACAGUGUUGCCAUGGCAGGUCCCCAUUGCUCAGUGAGCAAAUGAGUAGACAAACUGAGACUAUCUUCACAGGCACAUAGCACUGCCAGGUCCCCUGGGAGGACUCAAGAGACCGUGCAAGGCGUCCCUUCUGGGCCCAGACAUUGCCACCACUCUGAUAAACUGAGGAUUUGCAAAAGAGGGGAACCAGAGGAGGCUUCCAGAAGCACCCACAGCACUGCCUUGUCUGCGGCCCAGUGUCUAUCACUCAGGGCCCAACCAGGAAAGCAAAACUUGUUUUUAGGGUUCAGUACAGAAGCAAAAAGAGCAGAGGGGCGGGAGGAUCCGCUGUAUGCAGCGAAGAGGCCAUACCACUGCAGGCCAGGGCCACUGGGAAGGACCCAAGCCAUGAGGAGUCAAAGAGGGGAGGAAGAACGUGACCUCUUCCCCCUGCCCUCUGGAUUUCUGUGGGUGCCUUCCACUAGAUGACUGCAGCCAGAAGCCAGCUACCCUGGGAGACUGUGGGCCCUGCCCCCAGCCUGUAGCAGUGGAGAGCAGGGAUGGGCUGAUGAAGAGCAGCCCUGUGGCACAUCUACCCUUGUGUGCUGUGUCUUCGGAACCUGGCAGUUCUAGGCAGUGCUAAGACCUUGGGGAAGAAGGCAGAGGAGUGGCCCGCUUGGGUUUUGUAGGUUGUUUUCAUUCUGCUUUACAGGGAGGGAGGGAAAGCCUUUCUUCACAGUUGUCCUUGCUUUCCUUUGGAGGAAUCUGCCCACUAAAGCACCCCGCCUCGUGCUCCCCUCCGGAAAGCCAUGUCCUGGUUUCUGUGUGCGCCCCGUGCCUGUUCCUCUCUUCCGAGAGUCUGUUUUCCCCCAGCCAUGAGCACUAACCAGAGCAGGCCUCAGUGCUCAGGAAAGCUCUCUCCCAUGCCUUGCCAGUGUGGCCUGUCUGUAGGAGAGGCCAUCUAUCUGUCAGUUUGUAUUGUGUUUCCAAUAAAUUUCUGGAAAUCA